rnacentral:rRNA from 1 species
UACGUAGGCAGCAAGCGUUGUUCGGAGUUACUGGGCGUAAAGGGUGUGUAGGCGGUUCUUUAAGUUGGUGUGAAAUCUCCCGGCUCAACCGGGAGGGUGCGCCGAAUACUGAGGGACUAGAGUGUGGGAGAGGAAAGUGGAAUUCCUGGUGUAGCGGUGAAAUGCGCAGAUAUCAGGAAGAACACCCGUGGCGAAGGCGGCUCUCUGGGACGGUACUGACGCUGAGACGCGAAAGCGUGGGGAGCGAACAGG